CGGAAGGAUCAUUAUUGAAUACGUU
rnacentral:rRNA from 1 species